ACACUGAUGGUGAAGUGGUUAUCAUGCUUGCCUUCCAUUCAGAAUCUUCGGAGCUGAACGUAUCCAGCAAGCGGCAGGGGUUCGAUUCCCCUUCAGUGUA